CAGCACCUCAAGUGGUCAGGAUGAUUUUUGGGCCUAAAGCAUCCGUAGCCGGCGCUGUAAGUUUUCGGUUAAAUCUGUACGCUCAACGUACAGGCUGCCGGGAAUACUGCAGCGCUAGGGAGUGGGAGAGGUAGACGGUACUCGGUAGGAAGGGGUAAAAUCCUUUGAUCUAAUGAUGACCACCUGUGGCGAAGGCGGUCUACCAGAACACGUCCGACGGUGAGGGAUGAAAGCUGGGGGAGCAAACCGGAUUAGAUACCCGAGUAGUCC
rnacentral:rRNA from 1 species